rnacentral:rRNA from 1 species
ACGAACGCUGGCGGCGUGCUUAACACAUGCAAGUCGAACGGAAAGGCCCUGCUUUUGUGGGGUGCUCGAGUGGCCAACGGGUGAGUAACACGUGAGUAACCUGCCCUUGACUUUGGGAUAACUUCAGGAAACUGGGGCUAAUACCGGAUAGGAGCUCCUGCUGCAUGGUGGGGGUUGGAAAGUUUCGGCGGUUGGGGAUGGACUCGCGGCUUAUCAGCUUGUUGGUGGGGUAGUGGCUUACCAAGGCUUUGACGGGUAGCCGGCCUGAGAGGGUGACCGGCCACAUUGGGACUGAGAUACGGCCCAGACUCCUACGGGAGGCAGCAGUGGGGAAUAUUGCACAAUGGGCGGAAGCCUGAUGCAGCAACGCCGCGUGCGGGAUGACGGCCUUCGGGUUGUAAACCGCUUUCGCCUGUGACGAAGCGUGAGUGACGGUAAGGGGUAAAGAAGCACCGGCUAACUACGUGC